UGUGAGACUAAAAAUAAUAUUUUCAAGUUAUAGUUGGCCUACAGUAUGUGAUUUAGUAUAUUAUUGAUAUGAGCUGAAUACCCAUCCACAAUUAUGAUUAAUAAUUGUCUACUUAUUUAAACCGCAUUAUGGGGCCCAUUAAUGAACUAAAUUUUAUUUCUCAUGACCAGGGGUCCAUUGACAUUUAUUUUAUUUCUCAUGACUAGAGGUCCAUUGACAUUUAUUUUAUUUCUCAUGACCAGGGGUCCAUUACAAAACCUUCACUGGAAUCUUCAUGCACUCAAUAUCCUGUUCUUGUUCAGGAUGGAUGAUUCAUACUUGUUUGUGAAGUAAACAUCCACUCUUCAAAACUGAAACAACUAUAUAAACAUUGUUCAAAAAGCAUUUCAGGCCUAAAGCUCUCAGCCAGAGACUUUAUCCCCCUUUCCACAUUGUGCAGUACUCUUCCCAGUGUAACCAGCCACCUGCAACAAGCUGCUGCAACAAUCGGUUUGCAUAACCAAAGAAUUUCUGCACAAACUGUCAGAAACCUUCUCAGGGAAGCUCAUCUGCAAGCUCAUCGUCCUCAUCGGGGUCUCGACCUGACUGCAGUUCGUCGUUGUAACCAACUUGAGUGGGCAAAUGCUCACAUUCGAUGGCAUCUGGCACUUUGGAGAGGUGUUCUCUUCAUGGAUGAAUCCCGGUUUUCACUGUACAAGGCAGAUGGCAGACAGCGUGUAUGGUGUUGUGUGGGUGAGCGGUUUGCACGUUGUGGAUCGAAUGGCCAAUGGUGGUGGUGGGGUUAUGGUAUGGGCAGGUGUGUGUUAUGGACAACGAACACAGAGAUACUGUGACAGUGAUACUGUGACGAGAUCCUGAGGCCCAUUGUUGUGCCAUUCAUCCACGACCAUCACCUCAUGUUGCAGCAUGAUAAUACACGGCCCCAUGUUGCAAGGAUCUGUACACAAUUCCUGGAAGCUGUAAACAUUCCACUUCUUGCAUGGCCAGUAUACUCACCGGACACCCAUCCAGCAACCUGAUCAACUCUAUGCGAAGGAGAUGUGUUGCACUGCGUGAGGCAAAUGGUGGUCACACCAGAUACUGACUGGUUUUCAGACCCCCCCAGAAUUUUUUUUGAGAGCUGUAUAUGUGAGUGGCAAAAGUAUGUGAACCUUUGCUUUCGGUAUCUGGUGUGAUCUCCUGAUAGUGGACUCAUGAACAUUGGACUCAUGAACAUUGACAUUAGCCAAUAUGAGAGAGGCCUUUAGUUGCUUAGAAGUAACCCUGGGUUCCUUUGUGACCUCGCAGACUAUUACACGCCUUGCUCUUGGAGUGAUCUUUGUUGGUCGACCACUCCUGGGGAGGGUAGCAAUGGUCUUCAAUUUCCUCCAUUUGUACACAAUCUGUCUGACUGAGAGUCCAAACUCUUUAGAGAUGGUUUUGUAACCUUUUACAGCCCAAUAUGCAUCAAUAACACAUUUUCUGAUAUCCUCAGAAAUCUGUUUGAAAAAUGGUGUGAAAAUGGUGUGAAAAUCAGACUUUGAUAGAUCCAUGGUGGCCCCAAAAAAUUUGACAUCAGGCCAGGGUUGGUGUCCCUUUGGUUGAUGCUUGGCAAUGUGGGUGGAGUGACUUCCUGUCUGUUGGACCCCGUCCAGGGUCACUGGAUCCCCCUCUAUCUACCCUGGUUCCUCUUUAGGUUUCUUCCUAAUUUUCGACCCUUUAGGCAAUUUUUCCUAGCCACUGUGUAUCCACACUGUUGUUGCUUGUUCUUUGGGGUUUCAGGCCGGGUGUUUUGAAAAGAAAUAAUCCCAGUUAUAUCAACAGAUUACCUGGACAUCAGCGCUUGACAUUCACUUUUUUGCUCACCAGCCCCUAUGGCUAGAGGUUUUCCAAAGGUACUAGGCACUCAGCAUUUUCACUAACCACCAUUUUGUUGUUGGGAAAUUACAUUUUAUUUGAUUAAAUUUGACUAUUGUGUGCUACAUCUUAGCCUGUCAUGUUCACUCGUUCUGUCUCUGGCGCGCAAGGCAAUAGGCCUAAAACAAAUGGAACAGAUUCAAACACUGCAUGGUGCUUAUGGGGGUUUUAGGGACGUAGCUCAUAGUGUCACUGUCAUUGCAAUGAGAUUACAAUUGUAAAAUAUGUGUGUGUAUAUAUAUAAAUAUAUAUGUGUGUGUGUGUGUACAUACAUACGUACGUACAUACAUACAGGUGUUUUCCAGGCUCAAAAUUAGGCGAAAGGUGGUACCCCACUCUACCAGACACCACUCUGUGAAAUACUUCAUAUAUCUUGGCUACACACUUGAAAAAGACAACUAUUAUAGUGUUAAAUCUGCCCUGUUGUCCAUGUCCACUUGAGCAGCUAAUGCACACAAUGUCCUCCCUAAUUAUAAUCAAAAUAUGCAAGCAAUAUAUUUAUUCAUAACAUAACCUAGAACUAUUAACAUGUUAUUUAAAAAUAAAUAUGAAAUCACUCAUCGGCUUGAUUAUUAAUCGCAGUCAAUAUUAUUGUUGCCUAUUUUUGUUAUGCUAUGUUCUUGUUAAUAUAGACUUGGGUAUAGAAACAGAGCUCUAUUUAUUACAGCUUUGUCAAGUUAUUAUUUUCCCAUCCUUGCAUUGAUG
ensembl:lncRNA